rnacentral:rRNA from 1 species
UACAGCGGUCUCAAGCGUUGUUCGGAUUCAUUGGGCGUAAAGGGCGCGUAGGUGGUUGGGUAAGUCAAAUGUGAAAUCCCGGAGCUCAACUCCGGAACUGCAUUCGAUACUGCCCGGCUCGAGGAUUGGAGAGGAGACUGGAAUUCACGGUGUAGCAGUGAAAUGCGUAGAGAUCGUGAGGAACACCCGUGGCGAAGGCGGGUCUCUGGACAAUUCCUGACACUGAUGCACGAAGGCCAGGGGAGCAAACGGG